CACACACACACACACACACAAAAGCAGUUUGGGGAGGAGGUAGCAGAUGGCACUCACAGCUCACAGAUCUUCUAAGAAGAGGAGGGAAGGGAAGACUCUCCAAGACAGGACAAGCCUGUGCAGGUAGGUAGGACAUCAUGGGUGAGAGAAGCAAGAAGGCCAGCUUGCCUACAAUGAAGAGGGAAUGGAGGGACUCGCGAGCCUCAGAAGGACCCCAUCCAGUGCAAUGGUCUCAAACUCAAAGAGCAAAGAUCCUGACAGGCUCAAAAUUGACUUAGUUUUAAAAUGUAAUAUUAUGUCUCAUUUUAUUUUACUUAUUUUGUUAACUAUUUCCCAAUUACAUUUUGUGGGGGGAGGCGAGGCAGCUGGGGUUAAGUGACUUGCCCAGAGUCACACAAUACGUGUCAAGUGGCUGAGGCUGGUGCUGAACUCCAGUCCUCCUGACUCCAGGGCCGGUCCUCCACCUCGCUUUCCCCAGUCACAUUUUAAUGUGUUUGGGAGUGCUGAGGACUGCCUGUUAUUCUGUGAUCCCCUCACUUUAUGGAUGAGAUCACUGAGGCUCUGAGAAGCUGAUGCGACUCAUCCAUGAUCACAGAACCGGGAAGGUGCAGGGAAGAUAAAGCCAGAUCUGUGACUCUGCGCCUAGGAGUUUAUCCUUUAUGCAGAGCUCCAUUAUGCACCAAGUCUAUCCACGAUGCUAAGCUACAAACAUGCUCUUCAGAUUUCAAACCUCCACAGCUGGACCCCAACUUAACUUCUUCUAAUCCUAUUUUCCUGUCCCUCUUCCCCAGAUACACAUUCCUGCCAAAGGGGACUGUCACUGGCCUUCCACCUCCCCCAUUCACUUACUCAAACAGCCCUCUGUCUUGCUUGCUCAUUUCUACUUUUUGGAAGGACGAGAGAGUAUUCCAGAGAGGUUCAGCUCAGGAGCCAUCUGUCCCACAAAGCCUUUUCCAGCUUCCCAAUCUUUCCCUGCUCAAGAGUGAAUCCUGACUCUGAUCCUGACCGUCUGUAUGACGUUGGGCUCAUCACUCUCACUCUGAUCCUCUUAUUUCCUCAUCUCUAAAAUGAGGGGAUUACACCCGAUGGUCUAUCCAGCUCCAUAUCUAUGAUCUGAAGGCCCUGUGGUCACCUCACAUGUACUUAGAUAUGUACAAGUUCAAUCUCCAGGCGAACAUGUGCUUCCUGAGGGUGAGGACUGAGUGGUUGCGUUUCUGUGUCCCCAGACAAUGCUUUGUACAUGGGGCCACUUGGCUCUCACAUCAAAAAAAUAAAUGAACCACCCAAAGUCACACAAGCAGAACAUGGUAGAGAACGUAAGGGGUUAAGUACAGGUUUUCUGGGUCUAAAUCCAAGGUUGUUUUUAUUCUAUCAGCUUUUCUCAAAGUGUGGUGGGAACCUCUGAAGGUCCCUAAGAAUCUUUCAAGGGUUCUGAGGUCAAAAUUAUUUUCACAAAAAUACCAAUAAGUUUUUAAUCUCUCAGAUAACAAACAUCAAUAGGCAUAAUCAAUAUAAACAAAAGCUCUUUUUUUGGGGGGGGUCCUCAAUAAUUUUUAAGAAUGUAAAGGGAGGGGCAGCUAGGUGGCACAGUGGAAAGAGCACCAGCCCUGAAGUCAGGAGGACCGGAGUUCAAAUCUGGUCUCAGACACUUAACACUUCCUAGCUGUGUGACCUUGGGCAAGUCACUUAACCCCAAUUGCCUAAAGCAAAAAUAAAUUUAAAAAAAAAAAAAAGAAUGUAAAGGGAACUUAUUAUUAUGAAAACAUUAUUUUGUCCAGGAGUAUAUUUAGGAAGAAAGAAAAAGUGUUAAAAGACAAUGCCUGGUUUUUUGUAAUUGAACAGUGAGAUUAUCCCUCUUCCCAGAAAACAAUGAACCUACCAACUAAGCCCUAGCCCAGUCCCAGAGCUCAGGUGACUGUCUGGGGGCUAAAUUCUCCCAGAGCUGCAACAUUUUCUGAUACUUAUUCUGUGUCACUAGGAAGGAAUUAAUUACAAAAUGGACUUAGAGUAAAAUCAAACAAAAAUUCUCCACAUAGUAACUAAAGUCUUCUAUUUGAAUUGCCCAUAUCAGUCUUUUACUGAAGGAGAUUCAGAGUACCAAGAAAUCAUUCACCUACAAGAUCCCAGAAAACAAAACCAACACAAAAAAAUUCCCCACAGAUCUUGAGAACUAAUCCCACUGGCAAAAUGCAAAGGGCGUCGGAUUAGGAAAAAAAAGAAAGAAUCAGUUUUAGAGCCAAGGGUGUUUAAAAUAUACGUGUGUGUGUAUGUGUAUUUGGAUGGAUUUUCAGGCCUCAAUUGCUAAAAGCCCAUUUUGCCUUGAUUUUAUGCUAAUAUGCUCAAAUAUAUCUCCCAGCUGUGCUCUGUCCUGAAAACCAAAUAUUAUUAUUUUUAAUGACAUUUUGAUUGCUUGGAAAUGCUUAAAGUAGCAAAGUUCAGGAAACAGCUUAAAGAAAUUGCAAUUUAACAUAUACAUUUUAGAGGAAGAUGGUUAUUAGAGGUAUAUUCUGAAUAAUCACUUAUCAACCUAGGCCCCAGUAAAACAACCUAUAGCUUUCAUGUCAUCCUCAGGCAAGGCAGAAGGGACAUCCUGGAUGCCACAAAUCUAAUCCCCUUGGUAUUUGAACAGAUUCCUCCCCAAAAUCCAAAAAGUCUUGUCAGUUUAUAAUCUGUUUAGUCAUAUCUCUGAAUCUUUUCCAACUUUAUAUUCAGAAAAAGGAAACUACUCAACCUUUAAUCUUUUUCCUAUUUUUUAACCCCUUUACAUCAAAUUCUGGAUUCUCAGGUACAAAUUAAUUUCAGCUGCAAACUAUAAGCAGCUAAGGGGAUGAGACUCCUAAUAUUUAAUCUUAAAGCUUCUUUAGCACAGGCUGUGAUUUUGGAAGGAGAUUCUUUGUACAACUUAGUUCCUAAUUUUAAUGAUAUAAAAGUCAACUUCUGAAGUUGAGGAUAUGUACCUCCCUCUUCUUUGUAGCAUUGGAACAAUAGGCUUAGAACAUGAUCUAUGCCACUGUACUUAGCAGAUGUAUUGGUUAGUUUUGCUGAACUGCUGUGUUUUUCAUUGUUUUUUUUUCUUUUUAGUCUUUGAUACAAGGAAUGACUCACUGAGUAGGGGAGGGAGGAUAUAUUUAGAAAUGUAGAUGAUAAAAAACCAAAAGGAUAUCAAUACAAGUUUAACUUAAAAAAAAAAAAAAGGAAAAGAAAAAAAGCUUCACUGCUAAUGCCCUACACUCCAAUGACAUGGCCUAGAGGGGACCUGGGCUCCCCAAAAGUCGCAGCAGAGGACAAGCUCAGGCAGAUCCUACCAGGUGGAACAGGGCCUGUCUUUAGUUCAAUGACCAGUUCCAAAAGCCUUUACAAGUCAAGAGGCUCAGCAGGAAAGGUGGGGGAAAGGCCCAUGACAAGGGCAGUGAAGGAACUAGCCUUUUACAUCUGGUGAGAUCAUAAACAUGGGCUGGAGGUGGGGUUGGGGAGCCCUUAAUAAAUCUACUUUCUUUCCAUCAAAAACCAAUAGUCUACUUCUAACUGACUGAUGAUUUGACAACUCUGGAGAGAACAAUGUUGUCUGAGAGUAUUAUGUAUUUAUUGACUACAUUUAUCUAGAGCAAAAGUAUUGCCUGUUUUUUUUUUUUUUUUAAAUUUGGCAUUUAAUUAAAUAUAUUGGUCCAAAUUGGGCAUGAAAGUUUAGUUGACUGAAUUCCUUGACAGAACUUUAAAUGAGAUGCUCAAGUGUGAUUUCAGAAUAGAAGGCUAUGAAUGUUUAAAAGAAAUACUGUCAAGUAUUUUUUAUUAAUAUUUAAUAAUUAAUGUUAAGAAUAAAAUUAUUAUUAAGAAAGGAAAACAAUUUUUGUUGGUUUUCAUUCUUCCUGCUUUAAGAGAAGAAAGUACUUUCUUACAAUAACUAUCCGUUGGGGUGAAUAAAAUAAAAAGCAGAAGAGAGAAUAGAACUUCAGUGUUUCUCACAGUAAAGCAAUUUGCCCUGGAGUGCAAUAUUUUUUUUAAAGGGAAUGUCAGGGAUGGAAAGAAAGGAGACUAGAAGCUGGAAAAGGCAAUGGCAAAAUCUCAGGAUAUUUGUUUUUCUCUAGAAGUAACUUUAUUCCCACAUAUAAUGAUGCUAUCAUAAGAUAUAAUAGGCUCUAGAAUCAGAAGGGGAUUUAGAGAUUACCUAAUUCAAUUCUUUACAGAGCAAGCCUUGGGACAGGAGAUAAAUGGAGAGCAGGGAGAACAGCAUUUGCCUAAGGUCACACAAGUGUUACCCAGCAGAGCCAGUAUCUGAACCCGAGUCCUCUGACUACAAAUUCCAUGGUUCUUUGAUUUUACUGUGAUGUGACUAUAAAGUCUGCAUGUUGCUUUUGGGAAUUCUUCUUAAGAUCAGGGCACCCAGAAUCAUGGGAAUUAUUUCAAAUUGUAGAUGCAACUUCUUGCUGUAAUUCUUUGGUUUUUGGUUUCCUUUUGCUAUUUGACUUUAUGCUAUUUUCUGGCUUCAUUCAAACUUUCCUCAAUUAACUAGACUCCCUUGUUGAACUCCUUGUGAGCAGCUAAACUCAAAGAAGGUUAUUGAACUUUCACUGAUAGAAGUGACCUCUUCACCAUUCCCACAAAUAACCAUGAUCUGCUGAGGCCUUUGACGAGAUGCCUGUUCAAUUUUUGAACAUUUAUUUCUAAGCAAAGGAUCUCAGGGAAAGGCUGACUGUUGUUUUAGGAUUCAGGGCUAUCGGGUCUAGGAGGGGAGCAGAGAAUGUUCUAAUGCCAAGAAUUCGACUCAUUUCUCUACAUGUGGCAACUGAAGGAGCCUCCAUGUGGACAGAGUGGAAUUCCCUCAGGUACCUAUAUUUAGGAUCAAAGCACUUUUUAAAAUACAAAACCUAGAGUCUCCAAGGAAUAUAAACUACAAAACUAUCUGAAGUGAACUUUAUUUAACCUACAGCCUGGUGCCAACUCAAAUAUGCUGCAACCUCUGAAUUUGAAAGCCAGCAUUUACCUAGAGUAACUCACAGAUACAUGGAAAAGCUAUUAUGGGGAUAAUCAGCCAAACUAUAAAAUGGAGCAGUCAUAAAAUGACAAAAACAGACACAACUCAUAAAUUGCCUUUUUUCCCUUCAGAAUUCAUGCUCCCUUUGUGUGUUCUUUCAAACAAAGAUAAAACUUUUGCCUUAAAUAAACAGGGUGCAUUGAUGUCUAUUUAAGCCAUAUAAAUAUAUUGUCUUUAAAACAAAUGUGAUCUUAAACAAAAGGCAGAUGAUCCAACAAACAAUGUAAUGUGAGGAGAAUUAGAACCCUAACCAGUUCUAGCCAAGACAUCCCUGGCUGCUGAUCACUAGGCAGAGAGCACAAGGGGUCCAUGGACUUUGGUCUGGACCGUCAGCUUGGCCCGGCUUCAGUGUCCUAGGUGAGCACAGCCAGGGGAAAGUUUUGGGGUGGGCAGGGAGACAUCAGCACAUAGCCUCUCUGUCCAGGGACUGAUGGAAUCUGGAAGAAAAACAGUCUCAUGAAAUGGCUGCAUUUUCUAGUGAACUGUCUGGCCAACCUGAAUUCCAUCCUCCCCAGACUAACAAAUUUGAACAUGGCUCCUAUUUCAUUUCAGGCUAUUUUUCUGAAAGCUACCAAAGUACAUUCUAAAGUCAGGUGGUGAUUAUUUAAAAAAAAAAAACAAAAAAAAAAAAACAAAAUAAAACUUAGGGGUACCAGCAGAACUCCUCGACUCUCUGCUGAGCAGCCUGCAAACAGAAUGGUGCCAGAAUCAGCCCUGGUCUUGGAAGCAGAGUGGGGGGCUUCUGGAGCUCGGAAGACUUCAGGAGCAUAAGCCCAGAGUUCUGGCUCGGCCACACAGGAACAGGCAGGGUGGAUCCCUCGCCUUCUCCAGCCUAAGCUUGUCUGUCUAGAAGAGGAGACGGCCUUCGGUCCCUUUCGGCACUAACAAUCUGACUCAGAAGAUCUGUACUCACGCCUCUAGACAGUUCAGCCAUCUUGGUUAUUUCAUCUGUAAAAUGGGGGGGAAAUGGCUGCUCUGCCCAUGUGAAAGGGCUGGAAUGAGGAUCAAAUAGAAUAGUGAAUGGGAAUGCGCUUUGAAAGAGUAUAAAGUGUUAUUGAAUAGAAGGUAUUGUUUUCUUUUCUAGGGAAGAAAUGAGUGGAACAUCAAGGAGGAUCACAAUAUACUCAAGUCGGAAGACUUGUAUUUGAAUCCUGCCUGUGGCUUGAUUGGUGUGGCUUUGGAUAAGUCAUUCCAGCAUGGAAUAAGGACUCUCCAGGGGUCCACACAGCAAACACCGCCUGGCUUAGGGACUGGACUGUAUAUCCCGCCCUGGACACUGCCUGGCUACAUGGCUCUGGGCAAGUCACUCGUAUCAGGUCUGUUGUCUGUAAAACAGGGAUCGUCCCUGGAGCAUCCACUUCACAGUGCUGGGCAGGAAUCCAAUGACAUAAUAUUGGGAAGUGGUUUGUAAACCUUAAAAUGUUAUGUAAAUGUCAAAUAGGUUUUUUGUUCAAAA